rnacentral:rRNA from 1 species
GACGAACGCUGGCGGCGUGCCUAAUACAUGCAAGUAGAACGCUGAAGGAGGAGCUUGCUUCUCCGGAUGAGUUGCGAACGGGUGAGUAACGCGUAGGUAACCUGCCUGGUAGCGGGGGAUAACUAUUGGAAACGAUAGCUAAUACCGCAUAACAGUAGAUAUUGCAUGAUAUCUGCUUGAAAGGUGCAAUUGCCUCACUACCAGAUGGACAUGCGUUGUAUUAGCUAGUUGGUGGGGUAACGGCUCACCAAGGCGACGAUACAUAGCCGACCUGAGAGGGUGAUCGGCCACACUGGGACUGAGACACGGCCCAGACUCCUACGGGAGGCAGCAGUAGGGAAUCUUCGGCAAUGGACGGAAGUCUGACCGAGCAACGCCGCGGGAGUGAAGAAGGUUUUCGGAUCGUAAAGCUCUGUUGUAAGAGAAGAACGAGUGUGAGAGUGGAAAGUUCACACUGUGACGGUAGCUUACCAGAAAGGGACGGCUAACUACGUG